rnacentral:rRNA from 1 species
GAUGAACGCUAGCGGCAGGCCUAAUACAUGCAAGUCGAACGAGUGGCGCACGGGUGCGUAACGCGUGAGCAACUACCUCUGUCAGGGGGAUAGCCCGGCGAAAGUCGGAUUAACACCGCAUGAGGACAGAGAUGGGCUCGCGUGAUUAGCUAGUUGGAGAGGUAACGGCUCACCAAGGCAACGAUGUCUAGGGGCUCUGAGAGGAGAAUCCCCCACACUGGUACUGAGACACGGACCAGACUCCUACGGGAGGCAGCAGUAAGGAAUAUUGCACAAUGGGCGCAAGCCUGAUGCAGCCAUGCCGCGUGUAUGAAGAAGGCCUUCGGGUUGUAAAGUACUUUCAGCGGGGAGGCGUUACCCGCAGAAGAAGCACCGGCUAACUCCGUGCCAGCCGCCGCGGUAAUUC